CCCACACCACAUCGACCCAUUUUAUUAACUGUGAGAAACCCCUACCUCCUCCAACAACAAAAUCGUUACUAAAAUUCACUAUUACAUGAAAAAUUCUGCUGUUUCUCGCAAUCUCUGAUUCCCCUGCUCAUGCUGAUUCUGGUAAAACCUCAUCACCUUUCCUCAAAACCCUAAAACACCCAAAUUAUCUUUUCCGUUGUAGGUUGUCGACCAAUUUAUAAGGUCACCCAUGGCUUCGAGGGACCAAGCGCUUUCUCUUCUCGCUGCAGCGAACACUCAUAGCGAUUUGGCGGUGAAGCUCUCCUCCUUGAAGCAGGCCAAAGACAUUCUAUUGUCAGUCGAACCGUCUUUAGCUGCCGAGCUUUUCCCUUACUUGGCUGAACUUCAAUUUUCGCCCGAGAAUCUAGUUCGAAAAAUGCUUGUCAAGAUAAUUGAAGAAAUUGGUUUAAAAGCAAUGGAGCACUGUUCUGUACUUAUACCUGUCUUAUUGGCUUUUAUGAAAGAUACUGAUCCUCUCGUUGCAAGGCAGUCUAUUAUUAGUUGCACACAUAUCUUUUGUGCUGUUCUAGAGGAAAUGGCAUUGCAGUUUCGCCGGCGUGGUAAGGUGGAGCAUGGUCUUGAAGAACUAUGGCUAUGGAUGAUCAAGUUCAAGGAUGCAGUGUUUGCAAUUGCAAUGGAGCCUGGUUAUGUUGGGACAAAGUUGCUGUCAUUGAAAUUUUUGGAAACAUACAUAUUACUUUUUACAGAUGACACCAAUGAUUCUGACAAACUUGUUGCAGAAGGAAAUAGACAGUUAUUUAAUGUUUCAUGGCUAGUUGGUGGCCAUCCUGUUUUGGAUCCAGUUGCACUCAUGUCAGAUGCAGACAGGACUCUUGGCAUUCUAUUGGAUUUUUUGCAAUCACCCAGCAAUCUUCCUGGUUCUUUGACAAUUGUUGUAGUCAAUUGUCUUGCAGCUAUAGCUAGGAAGAGGCCACUCCACUAUGGAACUGUUCUUUCUGCAUUGCUUGAUUUUAGUCCAAAUUUUGAGGCGGUGAAAGUAUGUCAUACUGCUAGCAUCCAGUACUCCUUGAGAACAGCCUUUUUGGGAUUCUUGCGGUGUACGCAUCCAGUCAUUUUUGAGUCAAGAGAUAGAUUGCUUAGGGCUUUACGUGCUAUGAAUGCUGGGGAUGCAGCUGAUCAAGUUAUCCGUCAAGUUGACAAAAUGAUUAAAAAUAAUGAGCGUGCUUCACGUGAAUCCAGGUUUAGCAGGGACGAUCAACUGUCAAGCCAACUUCCAGUUUCAGGGGAUCAGUUGAGAAAAAGAUCUGUGUCUCUUGAUACUGAAGAGCUAGCAAAUGGCCACGAGGUAUCGUCCAAGCGAAUUUGUUAUGGUCCCAACAUCUCAUCAACCGUGCCAAUCCAAAUAAAUGAUUCUGAGGAGGAAUCUGUAUCAGUCAAUGGAGUAUCCUCUAAUGCUUCUUUAUUAGAUAGUGAUUUGACUCCUGUGGAACAAAUGAUAGCUAUGAUUGGUGCAUUGCUUGCUGAAGGAGAGAGAGGUGCUGAAUCACUUGAAAUUCUCAUUUCAAAUAUUCAUCCUGAUCUGCUAGCUGAUAUUGUCAUCGCUAACAUGAAGCAUUUGCCUAAGAAUCCCCCACCUUUGUCAAGGUCUGGAAAUUUGCCAGUAUCUCGUCCAAUUGGUCCUGUAAGCAGUCCAGCACAAGUUGUGGUCACUUCUGCUCCAACAAAUUCUUUUUCUCCAGUUCCAACUGCACAUGUGCCUUUUUCUGCAACAAAUGGUUUAUCAUUGUCUGAUACGUCUACAGCCAAUAAUUCCCCGGCUGAUGCUAAACGUGAUCCAAGAAGGGAUCCUCGUCGCCUGGAUCCACGACGUGCAGCAUCAUCUGUUGGAGUACCAUCCAUACCUAUUACAGAUGAUGCUGGUGCCAUGGAACCUGAAUUUGAUGGUUCUAUUUCUUUGAGUAAGCCUCUUUCACUUCCGGUUGUGACAUCUGUUGAGAGUCCUGCACUUCCAAUGUCAAACAGUGAAACUGAUGAUAAGGCUAUAGAAAAUCCACUGGUGCCUGAAAGUGAUCAAGUAAGUUUGAAAGAAAAGAUUUUCAGUAAACCUGAGGAUGCUGUUCCCUCUUCAGAAGUCAAGACUUCAUCAGAUCAUGGUCUUUCUCCUCCUCACACAGUUGAUGAGGACUCUGUUGCAUCAAAGUUAUCAGAUGUUGAAGUGACAUUUGAAGCUCAUACAUCAGCUUUUAUGGAACUUGAUCAGCAUUCUCCAGCUGUUUCAAACACAUCUAUACCUGAAGAAACCUGUCAGGAUUUACCUCAGCUUCCAAUAUAUAUUGAAUUAACUGAAGAACAACAACGAAAUGUGAGAAAAUUGGCAGUUGAACGAAUUAUUGAAUCUUACAAGCCUCUUCCUGGGACUGAUUAUAGUUGGACACGUAUGGCAUUGCUUGCUCGAUUAGUUGCUCAGAUUGAUGCAGAUGAUGACAUUGUUGUGAUGCUGCAAAACCAUAUUGUUUUGGAUUACCAGCUGCAAAAGGGGCAUGAGCUUGUGCUGCAUAUCUUGUACCAUCUACAUUCUCUUGUGACUUUAGAUUCAGCUGGAAGUUCCUCAUAUGCUUCUGCUCUGUAUGAGAAAUUCCUCUUGGUAGUGGCCAAGUCUCUGCUGGAUACUUUUCCAGCUUCAGACAAGUCCUUCAGCAGGCUUCUUGGUGAAGUUCCAGUUUUGCCAGAGUCAGCCUUGACAUUGUUAGAUGAUCUCUGUUAUAGAGAUGUUUUGGAUUCCCAUGGAAAAGAGGUUCGAGAUGGUGAGCGUGUCACUCAAGGCCUUGGUGCUGUGUGGGGUUUGAUUUUGGGCCGCCCAAAUAAUCGGCAAGCGUGCUUAGAUAUAGCUUUGAAGUGUGCUGUUCAUUCACAAGAUGACAUUCGAGCAAAAGCUAUCCGUCUGGUGGCAAAUAAACUCUAUCAACUAAACUACAUAGCAGAUAAUAUUGAGCAAUUUGCAACAAAAAUGAUUUUGUCAGCUGUGGAUCAGCGUACUUCAGACACAGAGCUUUCACAGUCAGGGUCCACUGACCAAAGAGAAGGGGAGGUUGGAAGCCAGGAGACAUCAGUCAGUGGCUCUCAACUCUCAGAUACUGGAAAUUGUGAAACUAACACUGCAAGGGGUGCACAAGGGGUUGUCCAAAGUGCGUCAACCAUGUCACUGUCUGAAGCUCAACGACUAGUUUCUUUAUUUUUUGCUUUAUGCACACAGGUUGUCAAUUUUGUGAUGGUUUUAAGAUUUGGAAAGCUAUUGCGAAAUUUAUUUUUAGCUUGUAGUUUCUGAAAGAUGCUGACAAAAUUUCUUUCCUGCCAGAAACCUACUCUUCUUCAACUUGUAUUUGAUAUUUAUGGGCGAGCACCAAAAACUGUGAAGCAGGCUGUUCAUCGCAAUAUUCCUAUCCUUAUCAGGGCCCUAGGGUCAUCUUAUUCUGAACUGCUGCGUAUAAUAUCUGAUCCACCAGAAGGAUGUGAAAAUCUUCUGAUGCUGGUGCUACAAAAAUUGACCCAAGAGACAAUGCCUUCUGCCGAUCUGAUUGCCACUGUGAAACAUUUAUAUGAAACUAAGUUGAAGGAUGCUACUAUACUAAUUCCAAUAUUAUCUUCGCUCUCCAAGAAUGAGGUCUGCUUCACUAUUUGUUUCUUCCUUUACUAGAAAUUGUUUUCGUUCUCAUGCUUAUGCAUAUGUUCAUUUAAUGGCAAAAAUGGUUGUGCAAACCAAAGAGUGUGAUUACCUUGAGGUUUACAAGUGGAUUUAUGCAAUUACUUCAGUAAGGGUUACGAGUAUAGUGCAUUACGUUCCAAAUCCAAGUGGAAUUUGCAGUAGACAGCUAACUUAGAGGCCAGCUAGAAUAAAUUGUUGACUUGGCCAUCACACGGAAUAGGAUUAGAGAGAGAGACGGCAGAAAAUGAUGUAGGAGCUUGAUUUACAUGGAUAUUGUAUGUUCUAUCCUUUCCUUCCCCCGCAUUAAACUUUCUGUCUAUCUAGUUUAUUCCAUUGGAACCUUUGUCAGUUGUGGAGUUCUUUGGCAUGGCAUAUCAAGUGAUCUCCAAGUCUAAUGCUUUCAACUUUCUCGUGUUGCAAAAUGUGGAAUUGAAAGUGUAUUGCGUUGCAACCCACAGCUGGAUUUUAAUCAUUUUAUGAUUUCAGGUUUUACCGAUUUUCCCCCGGUUAGUUGGUCUUCCAAUAGAAAAGUUUCAGAUGGCACUCGCUCACAUUUUACAGGUGUAUUUGAAUGCUUAAUAUGAUUUUAUUUGCAUUGUUCUGUGUAUUUAUUCUGCCAUAAGCGUAGCUAACUGUUCUGUGUAUUUACCCUUUUGGUCUUCUUAUCUCUUUAGGUCGCUUAGGACAUUUCAUUUUUAUUAGUGCACCUACUUGUGCUAUCAUGUUAUUAUGACGGGGAAAAUUGAUAAUCCAGUGUAAUACCUACUCAUGUUUUCUUGUUAUUAUGAUGAGGAAAAUUGAUAAUCCAGUGUUAUAAACAGAAAAUUUCCUCUUUAAGACAGUGGAAACGGGCAGACACGUAGGUCCUUGUUUCAUUGCUAAACUUAAACACUGGGAUUAGCAAAAACUUUUGGCUUUUCUGUUAAGAGGCCGAAUCAUCAAUGAUACAGCUGUAAAAUUGCAUCAAAAUUUGAAUACAAACAAUUUUAAGGAUGCAUAGCUGCCUGUGAAUUUGGUUGAACUACGUAAAACAUGCCAAGAUAAUUUAAACAAUGUGCUUGACUGUUUAAUUUUGAUUUUCUGCUCCCUCCUUGCCAUCCUUUCUCUCCUCUCCCUUGUAAAGGGAAAAAUUUUCUAAGAUUUCUUGGCUUGUCAUGGCAGGGUUCAGCUCAUACGGGUCCAGCUUUAACACCUGCAGAAGUGUUGGUUGCCAUCCAUGAUAUCAGUCCUGAGAAAGAUGGCCUUGCAUUAAAAAAGAUAACAGAUGCAUGCUCUGCUUGUUUUGAGCAACGCACAGUAUUCACACAACAGGUUUUGGCUAAGGCCCUGAAUCAGAUGGUUGAUCAAACCCCAUUGCCUCUACUCUUCAUGAGAACAGUAAUUCAGGCAGUUGAUGCAUUUCCUACCCUGGUUGAUUUUGUUAUGGAGUUGCUGUCCAAACUUGUGAGUAGACAGGUGUGGAAAAUGCCAAAAUUGUGGGUUGGGUUUCUGAAAUGUGUGUCUCAAACAAGGCCACAUUCUUUCCGUGUAUUAUUACAGUUACCACCUCCACUACUUGAAAGUGCUUUGAACAAGCAUGCUAAUCUCAGAGGCCCCUUGGCUACUUAUGCAAGUCAACCAAGUAUCAAAACUUCACUACCUAGGUACAGUUCUCAAGGAGCUGAUUUACCAGUUCUUUUGGUCCCGAGAGAUCUACUGGGAAAUUUAUUAUUUUUUUUAAUGAAGUGAUAUUAUUUUUAUUUAUUUCUGUCCUGUGUGAUAAUGCAGUUUUAAUGACCUAUGCAAUUUAUUAGCUUAUCAAGUGAAUUAUGUAAUCAAUUUUCCCAUGUAUUAGAGCAUCUAUCACGAGUUGGCACUUGGCAUUGACAAUUCAACUAUUAAUUUUGGAGGGUUACCAGGUUCUGUGCAUGAGUUUUGGGCGUUAUGAUCCUUAAUUUUGUACCAUAUGCAUCACAAAUUGGUAGAACCAAUCAUCAAGUAUUCAUAUUACCUAUUACCAAAUGAGUUGUAGCUCUAUACUGAGUUCAGUGGUUGAACAAAACAUCUACAGGUUCAUAAGAUAUUUGUGGAAUUUUGAUUUGAUGCAAGGAGGUCCAUUACUGAACUUUCAAGUUAAGGAUGAUGGAGGCCUCAGACAUCCUAUGUUCAAGGGCUGUCUAGUUGAGGGAGAUCAUGGAAAUAGUUAGUGAUUUUUUGAGCAUGGGGGGAGGAGUUUAGGAUUUGACAGAUUGAGGGGAAAAGAACCUGUCGUUAUGAAGAAGCAGAUUAUAAGUCUGGAGAUCAAUAUAUAUAUAUAUAUAUACUCUAUUUAAUUAAUUGACAUAUUCUUAUGAAAGAUGAGAGUUUUCUAAGGUUAAUUUAUUCCUAUGCAUUUGGCAGAUCGACGCUAGCAGUUCUUGGUCUUCUCAAUGAUUCACAAACACAGCAACAUGUCACCUCUUUACACCCUUCAGAAACGAGUUCCUCUGUUCAUGGAGCAAAUCUUACAUGAUAAGUCACUGAGAAUCAGAAUUGACCACUUGUAUAGCAAGGAAUUGUUAAGGACCAUUCCAGAUGAUGGUCCUUAUCCACUGGUAACACUUGGCAGAAGGGGGAAUACAAAUUGACAGUGGUGGCUUAAAUGGACAUUUAACUUCCGACAAGUGACUAGCUGAUAUCUGAUGUGCAAUGAAUUGAAGUCAGCUGGGUGAAGUUGCAUUUUUGGCAAGAAACUGCCUCCAGAGAAUUCCAACCCUCCUUCCCUGGCUGCUCUACAAAUGUACCAUAAUUGUAAUGUCUUUUUCAUUUUUGUUCUAGUUAUUGUAAUUCAUUCUUUGAAAUUUUGAUCUUCAAAUCCAUCCUAAUAUGGGCAUGUCUUAUGAAGGGUGAAACAUUGGUUGGUCGGCAUGUAGGGCACCACAUAGGUUAAGCGACCAAUUGUUCUCAUUCUCAGCUGUAGGAGAUUAGCAAGUGUGGUUCCCUGCGUAGGUGGGGGGAACCAUUUAAUUUGAAGGGAAUAUGAUUGUGGAGCUGCUGUCCAUGUAUGAGGGGUACGGUCCGUCAUAUAAUUGAGGACUAAUUUGGUCAUGAUGAUCACAAUAAGAGUACAGCUCUCUUCUCAUUUUCACUUUCUUUUUCAAUGUUACUAAUCUAUGGCAAUUUGCGACAUUCUGGGAUCAUGCGUAGGGUGCCUUUUUGUGUUGUUAUGGAGUCUUGAACUAUUGAGAACGUGAUACAAAAUGCUUUGCUAGAUUUUUUUUUUUUUUUCCCUGUGCUGUAAGUUAAGAUAAAUAUGCGUGGCUGAAGUUGUUAUUUUACUGAUAAUAACAUGCAUCGCUAAGCCUAAAGUUUUAAGUGCAGUUCCGUAGCUAAAUGUUUAACAGACGCACUAUUUUGCGUUUGCGUCGUAGUUUAUGACCAGACGUAAAUAUGAAUUG
rnacentral:misc_RNA from 1 species